AGUCCCUUUAGCUCAGUGGUGAGCGCCCGCCUCAAAUCACCAUCUUGUAACUUGUACAGACUUGGCGGGAGGCCGUUGGUUCAAACCCAACAGGGACUG